UAAGAUGAGCCUGCGUCCGAUUAGCUAGUUGGUAGGGUAAAAGCCUACCAAGGCGACGAUCGGUAGCUGGUCUGAGAGGAUGAUCAGCCACAAUGGGACUGAGACACGGCCCAUACUCCUACGGGAGGCAGCAGUGGGGAAUUUUGUGCAAUGGGCGAAAGCCUGACACAGCGACACCGCGUGAGCGAAGAAGCCCUUUGGGGUGUAAAGCUCUGUCGGCUGGAACGAAAAAAAUGACGGUACCAGCAAAGGAAGCAUCGGCUAACUACGUGCCAGCAGCCGCGGUAAGACGUAGGAUGCAAGCGUUGUCCGGAUUUAUUGGGCGU
rnacentral:rRNA from 1 species